AUGACUCUGAUCUGCAUCCUCAUCUGGACUCUCCUCUGCUGCUGCUUCACAGAGUCCAGAGGUCAGAUCACAGUGACUCAGCCUGGAUCAGUGACUUCUGCUCUGGGAGGCUCCGUCACCAUCCGCUGUAAAACCAGUCAGAAUGUUUACCGGUAUGCUGACAGCUCGGGCCAACGCUUAUCCUGGUACCAACAGAGAGAUGGAGGAACUCCUAAACUGCUCAUUUAUUGGGCUACCACCAGACAAUCAGGGACACCAAGUCGUUUUACAGGCACUGGAUCAAACUCUGACUUCAGUCUGACCAUCAGUGGAAUUCAGACUGAAGAUGCAGCAGUUUAUUACUGUCAGAGUGUUCACAACAUCAACAGUCUGUAUGUGUUCACACAGUGA